UAGGGAAUCUUCGGCAAUGGGGGGAACCCUGACCGAGCAACGCCGCGUGAGUGAAGAAGGUUUUCGGAUCGUAAAGCUCUGUUGUUAAGGAAGAACGAGUGUGAGAAUGGAAAGUUCAUGCUGUGACGGUACUUAACCAGAAAGGGACGGCUAACUACGUGCCAGCAGCCGCGGUAAUACGUAGGUCCCGAGCGUUGUCCGGAUUUAUUGGGCGUAAAGCGAGCGCAGGCGGUUAGAAAAGUCUGAAGUGAAAGGCAGUGGCUCAACCAUUGUAGGCUUUGGAAACUGUUUAACUUGAGUGCAGAAGGGGAGAGUGGAAUUCCAUGUGUAGCGGUGAAAUGCGUAGAUAUAUGGAGGAACACCGGUGGCGAAAGCGGCUCUCUGGUCUGUAUCUGACGCUGAGGCUCGAAAGCGUGGGGAGCGAACAGG
rnacentral:rRNA from 1 species